rnacentral:rRNA from 1 species
UACGGAGGGGGCAAGCGUUGUCCGGAAUCAUUGGGCGUAAAGCGCGUGUAGGCGGCUCGAUAAGUCCGCUCUGAAAGCCCGGGGCUCAACCCCGGGAGGCGGGUGGAUACUGUCGAGCUCGAGUCCGGAAGAGGAGUGUGGAAUUCCUGGUGUAGCGGUGAAAUGCGCAGAUAUCAGGAGGAACACCAAUGGCGAAGGCAGCACUCUGGGACGUGACUGACGCUGAGACGCGAAAGCGUGGGGAGCAAACAGG